GCAGCUCAUUGGUGGAGCAUCUGCUAGGCGUGCAGAAGGUUCCAGCUUCAAGCCCUGGCAUCUCCA